UACGUAGGGUGCAAGCGUUGUCCGGAAUUAUUGGGCGUAAAGCGCACGUAGGCGGCAUUGCAAGUCGGAUGUGAAAUCUUAUGGCUUAACCAUAAAAGUGCAUCCGAAACUGCAGUGCUUGAGUACUUAAGAGGAUCGCGGAAUUCCCGGUGUAGAGGUGAAAUGCGUAGAUAUCGUAAGGAAGACCAGUGGCGAAGGCGGGUCUCUGGACAGUUCCUGACGCUGAGGCACGAAGGCCAGGGGAGCAAACGGG
rnacentral:rRNA from 1 species